AAUUUUGGACAAUGGGGGAAACCCUGAUCCAGCCAUCCCGCGUGUAUGAUGAAGGCCUUCGGGUUGUAAAGUACUUUUGGCAGAGAAGAAAAGGUACCUCCUAAUACGAGGUACUGCUGACGGUAUCUGCAGAAUAAGCACCGGCUAACUACGUGCCAGCAGCCGCGGUAAUACGUAGGGUGCAAGCGUUAAUUGGAAUGACUGGGCGUAAAGCGUGUGUAGGCGGUUCGGUAAGAAAGAUGUGAAAUCCCAGGGCUCAACCUUGGAACUGAAUUUUUAACUGCCGGGCUAGAGUAUGUCAGAGGGGGGUAGAAUACCACGUGUAGCAGUGAGAUGCGUAGAUAUGUGGAGGAAUACCGAUGGCGAAGGAAGCCCCCUGGGAUAAUACUGACGCUCAGACACGAAAGCGUGGGGAGCAAAC
rnacentral:rRNA from 1 species